rnacentral:misc_RNA from 1 species
AACAAAACAAAAGCAACUUUCCGAGAUGGGUGGAAUUUCAAUUCAUUUUUCAUAUUGGAGAAAGUUGCAAAUAUGUAUCUUUAAUUAUGGAAAUUGAUGAUGCAAUCAAGUGAAAAACAAAAAUAAGACACAAGUCUUUUUUAGUGCAGGCUGACAGUGAGUUGUUUUCUUUUCUUUUUUGAGCAUAAAAGAAUAGCAAUUUCAUUAAGGGAACACAGAGGACAAAGGAACAUCAGCAAGAACCUAAUGACAAUUCUAAGGCAAGUUAUAGUGACUAUGCAUUGCUCUUACAAAUAUCAACUUGGCAAACAUUAAGCAAAUGUUUUCCUACUCCAUUUCCAUCUCAACUAACCUAAAAUCAUUGUAUAUAACCUGGCCCCAGAUAUCAACCCAGUCAAGAAAUUACCGAUUCAACCA